UUGCGCGCUGCUUUGCUUUGUGCCCAGCUUCUUUUGCCCAGAGGGCCCGGCUCCCAGCGCGGCGUUGGACUUUGGCGGACGUCGAGGUGCAGAAGCCGAGGGACGACGGGGCAAGAGCAAGCUGGAUGAGCGAGAGCUUCGAGGUCAAGAGUGGAACGGCGUGACAAGAGUGAGCUUGGAGCUGAAGAAGGAGCACGAGAGGCCCUCUGGGCAAAGGGCCUUGGUGGCACGGCCAGGGCACCUUCAAGGUGCCGCGGCUGACUUUGCUUGUGCUGGGCGACCUCCCUGCGUUGCGGGGCUGCGUCUUUGCUUUGGUUGGCCUUUUGCCGUUGUGCUCCUUUGGCUGCCUGGAGACAGGGGCAACCCUGUAAGCAGGGUGAAGAGUCCCUGUCUCCGCACCUGAGGGGGGAAACGGAGCUCCCCGAGCCCCCAGCCCGGCCGCCCUGUAAGCGGGGCAGGGCUUUUCCCCAGCUGUGGCAUCUUUGUUCCUGCUGCUGGUCCCUGCCGUCACAUUGCACCAUACAGUGUUUUCGGGGUUUAUUGUAUUCAAAUGAUCAUUGUGAUCACUGACAAUAAUUACAAUCUUUUGCCUGAGUCUUAGGGAGCCAAACUGAACUAACUACCGAUACGGGAAUGCUCUUGCCUGCCCAUUUAUCAUCAUCCUGACUAGUGGAUUAAAAAUUAUUUUGGUCACACCAGAGUAGUACUCAAAAUCAACACUGCCCUGAAUGUAAAGUGAGAGUGAACCAAUAACUAUGCUUAACUUUUUUCAUAAAUUUUAAUUUGCAACAUCUGCCUUGCCUGCUCUGUUUUCUUUGGGAAUGUUUUGAUAUUUGUUGUUUUUCUUUAAGGUCCUGGCACCUGAGGUCUAGGGAUUAGGUUUUGUUCUCUGCUGUCUUCUGAAAUAAAAGUAACUCUUUCAGUUUUUAAUAAAUGCUUCUAAAUGUUGCCUCUUCA